CGAAUAACAUCUUUAGGCGGCCGAGAUGCUUCUUCCACCACCACCACCACCACCACCAAGAUCUCUUCGUAUAAAUAGCAGCCUUCAGCACUAGGGUUUUAUCUACACUUCACGAAUUUUCUCUGCUGGGUCGGUCUGUCUGUCCGUCCUCCUUCUUUUGAUUAUCUUCUGUCAUUUAUGUUGGAUGGUAUGUUAUAUGAACUGUUUAGGUCUAAGCUAAGCUACAUGUACCAAGGGGAGGUGUUAAAAAAAUGGCCUUCUCCUUGUUGCCAAAGCGGCUGUAGCUAUAUCAAUCUAACUGGCUGAGAAGCUAACUGGCCGGCUAUUGUGUGAGAUUGAUUUUCUAUCUCCGAUCGAUAGAUCUGCUUACCGAGCUUCUCACAUUCUUUUUAGUGUUCUUUAUUUUCUGUCUUUUUUUCUGGGGCAUAUGCAGAAAGAAAGAAGAGGAGGGAGAGAAGAGGGAAAUGGCAUAGGAUUUAGCCUUUUUCAGAGACCCUUCUCUUAAAUUGAUCAAUUGUCACUUUCCAGGCUUCCUGCUUCGAAUUUCUCAGCAGUGAGCGUCUAUACGUGACUACAUUUAUUCCUCUCAAGUUUCUCUCUUUCUUCUUGUAACUUUUUUCUCGAUCUGGUGUAAACCUUAAACAAUAACCAUGUUCUAUAACAAUAAAAGCUCACUGGAUUUGUGAUUUGAUAUGAUCAGACUUGUCUAGUUCAGAUUUCCUUGGGAUCUUGUAAAACUGAACAUUUCCUACUGGAAGGACAAGAGCAGCCCAGAUGUGGUGGUUGCUGGUUAGGCAUGCUGGGGUUCCAAGGAUUGGGGCAUUAAGUAAGAAACAAAGAGGUGGAGGAAAAUUUUGGAACGGCAUGUUAACAUUAUUGAUGACUGAUGAAUAAAUUUUUGAUCUCCCGAUCCCAUGAUAUCCAGCAACUUAAACUAUCCUAAGUGGUAACCAAGGAAUAUGAAAGCAAAAAAUCCCAGAAGAUGAACGAGUUGUUCAUGCUCUGCCCGCAUGUUGAUACCAAAAAAGGUCAACUUUUCACAAGUUCAGGUCGAACACCUUUGAAAAUGAUUGAUUUCCCUAAAUUUUGUUCUUCGUACGGACAACAGAACUACUCUAUUGGACACCACUAUUAUCAUUCAAUCCAGUGUUCGAGAUUACUUUCUGUUAGAAAAGGAUGAAGAAUAUAGUGAGGCAUUUUGCCCUUUCAAAGUUCAGACCUGGUUUACAAUUUUGUUGUAUUCCAUCGUACAGAUGAUGAUGGCCUUGAUUGAUUCUAGCCGGUCCAAGGCCAAAGAAGUUUAUGAACAAGAAGAAAAGGAAGGGAACAUAAUGAUUUCACAGAGAUAAAGAAAGAUAGGCAUUCCGAGGAGUGCUGUAGUUACUCGAUGUAUAAAGCAAUUACUGUUUACAAAAACAAAAUGGAAAGCCAUUUGAAGAGCAAGGAUGCCCCGCAAGAACUUGUACCUGCUUGCCAGAGUCACGUUAGAUAGUAUGAACAGGAUACUCCUAGCCAUGCUUAUAGUCAUCUAUUUUGCCUUUGGCCACUGGAAGGUUGCCUCAAGACUUGCAUACCUGGGAUUGCAACGAAAGGCCUAUCGCCUCUAAAGGAAUAACCCUUCAUGU